AGAACUCAGAGAGCCCCAGCCUCUAGUUGGUUUUACAAGAAAGCUAUAAAAAUUUUUCUCUUGAUCAGACUGGUGAACUAGUAAAGCAGAGGGCUGCAGUUGUUAAAUGUUGCUGUCUCAUAUUUUCUGUUGUUUGGCUCUAUGUUUUCCAUUCUAGUUUUUACUCUGUUUCUUAUUGCUUUACCUGUUUUUCUGGCUUGGGGUAUCUGGAUAUAUGAACCACAAGACUGAUAAGAAUUCAAUGCUUGAGGCCAGUGGGAAGCUUUGAAAAACCUAGGGCCCUGCUACAGCACCAUUGUGACUGUGGAGAACUGGACCUCCCCUUCCUGAAUUGCAACAUUGCAGAAGGCAGAAUAAUCCUCUUCCGGGUCAAAAUCUGGAUUAUCACUUGAAGGACGUGUCCAGAAGAUGUUAGCACUGAUCAGUUUUACUAUAUCAGAAUACGCUGAUUCAACAAUUACACCACGAUUAGUUGAAACAUACUCAACCAGUUCAUUCAGUGGUGCUCUUUUAAUUUCUUUGCUCUUCAAGUCUGAAACAGAGUCCAUGAAAUCAAACAGUACACAGCACUGUUGUAGCUUCUGGCAGAAAAGCUCUUGCUGUUCAUUUGAAGUGGCAUCUUUGAGCUGGGGCAGGGGGUGCAGCUCUGCCUGGCUGCCCUGGCUGCCCUGGCUGUGGAACUGCGACGAGCCCUGAGAACGCUUCUGCCUCUGUGCCUUGCGCACCGAUCAGGUGAAGCCGUCCACAACUGGUGCGAGUGGCGACGGCGACUUCUCGGCGACCCGGGCGCUCGGCCCCUCCCGCAGCGGCUGGGACAGGCACGGCGGGCCUGCGCCCCAGCACCCCGGGCCCAGGCCGCGCCGCCCUCACGCUCCGCAAGCUGCUCUUUACGGGACAGCGCCUCGCUGCCGUGUCCCCGCGCCAGGCAGCCGCCUCUCGGGGCUGGCGGAGGGGAGGGUGGGGGGGGGGCGGUGGCGUGCGGGCCGCACAAGCUGCUGACGCCCGACUACGAGGGCUGACAGAGGUGAGCCCGAGUUGGACCGCUGGAGCGAGCCUCGUGGCCCCUUAGCGCACGGAGUCCGGACAGGUCUUCAGCUGCUGUCGCCCGCGCUGUCCGCCAGCCAGGAGCCUCCUCCAUCUCCGGUCUGUGCGAGCCACUGCUCAGCGCUCGCUCGUUCUCAUGUCAGCGAUGGACCCCUCCUCGCCCGGGGCGGCCACCAGCACCCAGAUCCUUGGAGCUUCGCCCUUGCUCAGCCUCCGGCGCCCACAGAGCACACCCUGGGAGCAACUUGAGAGGGUGGCUGGUACUCGGUGCGCAUGCCACAGUUCUUAAAGAUACAAUAUAAAGGUCUAGUCCUCUUAAAAACUGAUAUUACAAACUGUUAAGGAUGAUAAAAACACAAGUUACACGCUUUUAGGGAUGGUUAAGAAAUGUAGCUGUCCAGUGGCCACGGAAAACUGGGUCUGAUUAGCCUUCUCAGGGCUGGGGGAAGAGCACAAUUCCCCUUUUUUUAUUUUUUGAAAGAUGAGUGGAAAGGGGACACAAAAUUUACUUGUACUCUAUGAUCCCACCUAGGAAAUAUGGUGACUAGGCGGCCGUGUCUGCUUAGGUCUGGGUCUAUAUUACUCCUCCUUACCGGUCUAGUAGAACAAGCGAAGCUUGUUGGUGUUUGUUUGGCACUUGUCUCUGUCUUAGGUCGACAGGAGCUCAAGAAUGCCAGUUGCCCACCAGCCUUCAAAAGCACACAUUUUCCCCAUUCAGACCAAAGCCAUGAAGGGCAUAUGAAUAUGCACUCAAUGCAUUUCUUCAUAGGUAUGAAUAACUGCCAUGGUGAAUAACUGAGCUUGCUGAGGGUGAUACUGUGUAAAGGCAACCAAUCUGCUUAAGAUAAAAAGUCAAAGGUUAAAAGCAACAAGAUUAAAGUUGUCUGCA
rnacentral:lncRNA from 1 species